CUGUAGAGCGUAACGUAUACCAACUAUGCUGUUGUACUUUGUGUUUUUUCUAAGUGAGACAAAGCUGGCAGCACAUGCUGAGAAGAAGGGCGACAGCCUUCUGAACCUUGACUUCAGUAUGACCUUUGACCAAUCAGUUGUCUAGGUAGAGAUAGACCUGGAUCCUCCAAUGUCUCAGGUGUCAGCAGAGAGAAGGUACUCGUGUAGCUCCAGUAUUUGCCUGGCGAAUGAUAGAUGAUCCUCAAAAGGACCGUGGGUAAUAGAGCAGAAGAUGGGUUGAGAUUGUGGCGGUGAGACCAGGUGGAG